UACGGGGGGGGCAAGCGUUGUUCGGAAUUACUGGGCGUAAAGGGCGCGUAGGCGGCUCGCUAAGUUGGAUGUGAAAACUCUGGGCUUAACCCAGAGCCUGCAUCCAAAACUGGCAAGCUUGAGUACUGGAGGGGAAAGCGGAAUUCCUGGUGUAGCGGUGAAAUGCGUAGAUAUCAGGAGGAACACCGGUGGCGAAGGCGGCUUUCUGGACAGUAACUGACGCUGAGGCGCGAAAGCUAGGGGAGCAAACGGG
rnacentral:rRNA from 1 species